CUGCGAUUCAGCCAAAGGCUUGAAGACACUGAGCUAGGAGGAUGAAUUUUUGGCCCCCACAUUCUUUUUCAUGACCUCAAACAUAUGGGCCAGGCUUGGUAUAUAGAUCUGAGAUCCCAAUUCCUCUUAAGGGUAAAGUCAAGAGAGAAGUACUGCCAGUGGAAAGGCCAUGGCUUCUGAGGUGGCCUUUUUGAGGAACUGACUUAACCCUUGCCUUUUUCUAGAGACAGAUAAAUGUGAGGUGUUGCCAUUCUUCAGCAAAUAUUUUCCCAGCUUGGCUUAGGAGCUAUUCUUACAUUUUCUCUUUUUUUUUUUUUUUUUUUUGAGACGGAGUUUUGCUCUUGUUGUCCAGGCUGGAGUGCAAUGACAUGAUCUCGGCUCACCACAACCUCUGCCUCCCGGGUUCAAGCGAUUCUCCCGCCUCAGCCUCCCGAGUAACUGGGA
rnacentral:lncRNA from 10 species